AGUUCUGUAUGGUCUGGAAGACUCUUCAUGUAUUGGGAGGGAUAUGAAAAGGAGUUCACUUCUGACCAUGGUGAAUUUCACGAUUGCUACAUAUUGCUAAUGCUGUGUAAAACCACAAGAAUUCUACAGCUAGGGUUUCAUUUGUUUAAGUAAGUGCCAGCAUUGAGUGCAGUUUCAGAGACUAAUGUUCAGUUCUGUAGUUAUCACUGUAAGACUUGUAGACAUGACAUGAAACAAGUGAGAAACUUCUACAGCCAAAUACCAUUAGAUAGGCACCUUAGCACUUUUUCAAUGUUUUCAAAAACGUGUUGUCUUUUAAAAAGUUACUUUCAGAGAAAUAGAAACUGAUCAUUCCAGCAAGAACUGAGCAUACUAGGUCAGUGCUAACACAUCAGCCUUUCUUGGCUUUUGCUUUACACUGAUCUGCAAGCAAGUGUUCUUUUUUUCAUAGUCAUUACUAACAUUUGAUGACACAUUGCUUGGUAAGUCUAGAGCUGCUAGAAUUCAGUUUGCCAUGAAUUUUGAGCCUUUGUUCACAUCAGUAUGGCCCAGAUGACAUGGAAACUCUUCAAAGGAUAAAUCUCUAAUUCCCACUUCUUCACCUUGCGCUGACACUUUCACUUCACUGUGAGAUUUACUUCUGUUCUUUCAGCUCAUGGCAGUUUCAUUCUGUGCUGUUGUUUCUUUUGACCAUUGAAAAAACAAACGAACAAACAAAAAAACAAAAAGCCAACCAAGCAAUGGCUCAGAUUUUUCUCAAAUACCUCUGGUUUCUUUUACUUUGCUGUCUUCAGUUUCUUGACUACAGGUGUCUUAUUUCUGUUGCUAUUCUGUUGCAGCUUGUAUUUUGAUUCUGAAUGAUGUGAAUAUUUAAGUAGCCAGAGACAAAUAUGCUUACCCCUGCACAUUGUGUUUUGCUACUUGCCUCCUUUGGUUUAAUGAAUUUCCAAUUUAACCUGGUACACUCAUAAUUCAUUUGACAAGUUUUCCAUUUUGUCUGUGCAGGAGCACAGAUAAAUCUUGGGUGUUCAGACUAGCUGCCCCUAUACCGGAUGACCACUGAUCCCUGGAAAAUGCAAUGAGAGUAUCCAGUACUACAUGACUGCUAAAAUAUCUUUGUUGCUUGUGGACUCUUGCACUGAUAAUAUUUAUCAGCUUCUGUUGCUUGCCAAAACUGAUUUUUUUUAUCCUCAUGCUGAUGGUUUUAUUAUUGCAAUUGCCAUGAUUCUGAACAAAGAGUGGGUCAUACAAGUCCUACCAACACCAUCAAGUUACUCAGUUAUACUCUGUAUUCAGCAAGGCUUGUAUGAUAAUACUUGGUUGCUAAACUUUAGUGUCUACAAAUAUUUUAGAGUCCAUAUGUUGUCCUAAAAGUUAUUUCAGAGUGAUGAUAAGGAUCUGCCAAACCUUCCUGGCUAUCUUAAAGGAUGUGUUACAAGGAAGUCUUACACAUCCCUGGUUGCACCAACUGCCUAUGCAUGAGCAAACAAAUCCUACACUGAAUAUCAUGCAAAAUCUUGUAAUCAUAUAAUAUAAUAACCUGUACUGCUGAUCAUAUGACUUAAUUUUACACCAGGAAAUACUUGUAGACUGUUUUAUUUAGUCACAGACACACUCAUGAUUAUGAAGACCAGAUCACAUGUUUGAAUUAAUAAAUGCCAAAAAGGUGAAAAAGGAGGGUGUGCAAUAGAGGACGAUAAUUUUGGGUUUCAGGUUAUGCAGAGAAAGCAAGAAAUGACUCUUAACUCAUUUAUUCUAACCUUUACAAGACAAAAUACAGAGUGACUUUCUUGGUUUAACUGCCUUUGCUUCAGUUUGUCUAGGACCAAAUGAUCAUUAAUGAUCAUCAAUUAUGCAAAGGAUGGAAUUUAAGGCAAGUGUUCAAGUAUGGUAGCAACAGUGCCCAUUUAUAUGAGUUCAAACUGUUAUGAUACUAUGCUCAAGAGAAAUGUGCAGAGGUAAGGAUGCUCAGGUUGUUCAGUAUAGCCAUUUUUUGCCCUUGAUUUUUUUUUUCUUUUUCUUCACUGUCUUUUAACAAGGAUAGCAUUCACAAAAUAGGCAAAAUGAGAGUGUUUUCUAUUGGACACAUAGCUAAUAUGUGUAUAAUUUGGAUAUUAUGUUGGUUUAUUCUCUGUAGUUUCUGAGUUCUUUCAGAAAGUGCUUAAUAUAACAAUUCCUUAAUAUAUGACAUGUAAUUCUUCUUGUAUGCUGGAAAAAAACAAUAUUAAAGCAUCAGGGCUAUAAAAGUGGUAGAGUAGUUACAUAUAAGAAUAGUAGAAAAUCUGGCAGGAAAAUAUUAAUUUUUUUCUAUUCAUCACAGUCCUUUUGAGUAGAAAUAGAGCAAGAGUACUUUUACUUUGUAAUAUGCUAUGUUCAUGUAUAUGUAUACUGUGAAGUACAUUUGUCAUAUCUUGCUUGCAAUAAAUUUCAAGCAGUAAAC
ensembl:lncRNA